CAAGAGGAUCCUGACAAGAGCUGGGCUGUGUCCCUACUCCUACUUCUCCUGCUUCUAGAACCGGGGAACAGUGACUUUUGUGUGCUCAAGUAAUCUGAGUAGCCACUGAGGUACAGAAAAAGGAUUCAUCCUGCUUUGUCAUCCCUGUCACCUCCAAGGGCUCCUCAGUCCCUGAAUAGACACAAUGGUGAGCUUGGAAAAAAGCCCUGGUUGUGUGUCAAGCCCAAAGAGCACUGGGAGCCGUGGCAGAGCUGUGUGAGCCUGGAGGCAGAAGGGGACACCCUGUUAAUGUCAGUGAAAUGAGAGUUGAAAAGUGCCUGGGGCAGAUUUGACAGGACCUGGGAAUUCACAUUAGAAGGAGGGGACAGUGGGAUUGCAGAAGCAGCUGAGAUGUUCUGAGGUGACUGCAGGAGGGUCAGAAGAGCCAGGAAGACGGAGAUGGAUAGCAGGAAAGACAAAAGACAGUAAAGGGGUCUGAGAUUUCUCUUCUCGUUUCCCUCUCCAUUUUCAAAUCGAAGAGCUGCUUGAGGAAACACUUGCAGAACCACAAAGAGGAGCCGAUAUUUCUCAGUCCUUUCCCUCUGUUCAGUCCUGUUUCCCCACAUGGUGCUGAUAAGGCUGUUGAGGGUUUCCUGCGGGGAAGAAGAAGAAGAAGAAGCCUUGGGGAAGUGCCAGGACUUACCCAGGAGCUGUCCCAGGAAGAGGAGCAGAGAGAAGACGAUCAGACACGUACAGGGAGAUGAGGAUUCCUGCCAGCAUUUGUGCUGAGAAGAGAAACCUGCCACCAUCCUUGCUGAUGCCAGAGACACAUCAGUGCCAGUGUCUCCAUUGCUGAGGAUUCCAUCUCCUCUCUCAUCAUCUCUAAGCCCUUGUCAGUGACAAAGCUCAGCCUGAGGCAAUUCACAGGCACAGCUUCCUAAAGGGCCAUCAAUUCUGAGCUGCCUCCUUCUGUCCCUUAUCACCUACUGUCAUACUGAUGGCAUUGUGUUCUUUGUUUAUCACUUUCCCUUGUCCCUGUUCUCCCCUUGGAUAAGAAAAUGGAUGUGAUGUGAGCCUUAGAGAACCAGGCACUUGUAGCUUUCACGUGCCCUGACUGUGGUCUCUGCUGAACUGGCUCAGUGCAAUGAGUUCCUGAAGAUGCUGAAAGGCUCCUGUCCCCCAAAGAGAAAUGCGGUCUCUAGAGCAAUUCUAUGGAGGAAAACCUCAUGUGGAACUCACUUUUCCAAGUGUCUCCCUCCAGCUGUUGCAGCAUUGCUAAAUGCUGGCAUCUCCUUUUCAGGAGAGCUGAGAGGUUACUAACGUGAAGGGAAAGGGAGCAAUCAGGUUCAGCUGGAAGGUGGCUGUGAUGGAGCCCACAGAUGUUCAGACGUGCUCUGCCACUCCAACCGAUUUAUUAUUUUCCCUCCCAGAUGUUGUACUGUUUAAGGGAGAUGCUGAAUGCACAUCCAGGGGUGUUUGCGGACAGGAUGGAAGAGAGAGGUUUCUGGCGGGACCGAGAUGAUGGAGAUUCCUUUGUCACCUCCGAAAGCCCGGCUGCAAAUCCCUCUCAUGCCAUGGCCUGCCGAGGUGACAGCACUCGAUGAAGGAGGCUCUGUGUGCCUGAGAGUGCAGCUGCUUUGUGAGGUGCCAGCAGCGAUGCUGUCAAGGAGCAGCUCCUUGCUUUGCCGAGCAGGCUGAGACCAGCAGCAGCAGCAGCAGCAGGAGGAGGUGUGGGCGGAGGGCGAGAGGCGAUGGCAGAGGGGCAGCCCGCAGCAGUUUGGCGGCCGGGAGAGGCUGCAGAGGGCGAGAGUGGAGUCCAGGCCUCGUGUGGCGAAUGUGUGAGCGCAGGGGACAGGCGGCAGGCGUGUGUCCGGGCGAGUGUGUAAGCGCAGGGGGCAGGCGGCAGGCGUGUGUCCGGGCGAAUGCGUAAGCGCAGGGGGCAGGCGGCAGGCGUGUGU